rnacentral:rRNA from 1 species
GAUGAACGCUAGCGGCAGGCUUAACACAUGCAAGUCGAGGGGUAGAGGAAGCUUGCUUCCUUGAGACCGGCGCACGGGUGCGUAACGCGUAUGCAAUCUACCUUCAACAGGGGGAUAGCCCAGAGAAAUUUGGAUUAAUACCCCAUAGUAUUUUUGCCUGGCAUCAGGCGAUUAUUAAAGUUCCAACGGUUGAAGAUGAGCAUGCGUCCCAUUAGCUAGAUGGUAAGGUAACGGCUUACCAUGGCUCCGAUGGGUAGGGGUCCUGAGAGGGAGAUCCCCCACACUGGUACUAAGACACGGACCAGACUCCUACGGGAGGCAGCAGUGAGGAAUAUUGGUCAAUGGGCGCAAGCCUGAACCAGCCAUGCCGCGUGCAGGAUGAAGCAUCUAUGGUGUGUAAACUGCUUUUGUACGGGAAGAAACACCGGUUCGUGAACCGGCUUGACGGUACCGUAAGAAUAAGGAUCGGCUAACUCCGUGCCAGCCGCCGCGGUAAAAC